AAAAAUAAACCGUUAACUAAAAAAUUAACCUAGCACUAGGGGAGGCAAGUCGUAACAUGGUAGGUGUACCGGAAGGUGCCCUUGGAAAAAUCAGGACUUAGC
rnacentral:rRNA from 1 species